GACGAACGCUGGCGGCGUGCUUAACACAUGCAAGUCGAACGGAAAGGCCCUGCUUGCAGGGUACUCGAGUUGCGAACGGGUGAGUAACACGUGGGUGAUCUGCCCUGCACUUCGGGUUAAGCCUGGGAAACUGGGUCUAAUACCGGAUAGGAGCCAUAUUUAGUGUGAUGGUUGGAAAGUUUUUUCGGUUUAGGAUGAGCUCGCGGCCUAUCGGCUUGUUGGUGUGGUAAUGGCCUACCAAGGCGGCGACGGGUAGCCGGCCUGAGAGGGUGGACGGCCACAUUGGGACUGAGAGAAGGCACAGACUCCGACGGGAGGCAGCAGUGCGGAAUAUUGCACGAUGGGCGCCAGCCGGAUGCAGCGACGCCGCGUGGGGGAUGACGGCCUUCGGGUUGUAAACUCCUUGCGCUAGGGACGAAGCUUUUUGUGACGGUACCUAGAUAAGAAGCACCGGCUAACUACGUG
rnacentral:rRNA from 1 species